rnacentral:tRNA from 1 species
GGUUGUAGCUCAAUGGUAGAACGUGUACUUAGCAUGCAUGAGGCCCUGGGUCCAAUCCCCAGCACCA